UGACUGGGAGAGCAUUGAAAACAUGGGCAAAACAAACCCCACUCAGCAGCGGAAACAUUUGGAGAAAAGGGCAAACGUCCUCUAUAAAAAACAUGGUUGGGAUGUCGUCAUUAUGUAUUACCACCAACACGCAAAA